rnacentral:ncRNA from 2 species
GAAUACGGUGAACUCAGGGGUGCUUUGAGCUUAAAAGGGAAAGCGGUGAAAAUCCGCUGCAGCCCCCGCUACUGUAUACGGAGACGAAUCCAGUCCCACUGGGAAACCGGGAAGGGUGGAGGAGGAUGACCCGUGAGCCAGGAGACCUGCCUCUGGGUAGAUGCCGGU